AGGAUGAACGCUGGCGGCGUGCCUAACACAUGCAAGUCGAACGUCCUGUCUCGCAAGAGGCAGGGAGUGGCGGACGGGUGAGUACCACGUGGGUCAUCUACCGUGAGGUGAGGAAUACCGGCGAGAAAUCGCCGACAAGACCGCAUAGGCUCGAUGCAAGUCGAGCAAAGCUCUUUCGAGAGAGGGAGCGCCACACGAGGAGCCUGCGCCCGAUUAGCUAGCUGGUGGAGUAACGGUUCACCAGGGCGACGAUCGGUAGCUGGUCUGAGAGGACGAUCAGCCACACUGGGAUUGAGAACGGCCCAGACUCCUACGGGGGGCAGCAGUGAGGAAUUUUCGUCAAUGGGGGCAACCCUGAACGAGCAACGCCGCGUGCAGGAAGAGGUUUUCGGAUCGUAAACUGCUUUUCUCGGGAAGAGAAUGGACGGUACCCGAGGAAUCAGCCCCGGCUAACUACGUGCCAGCAGCCGCGGU
rnacentral:rRNA from 1 species